GAAAGAUGGUGGAAGAAAAUCUGCUUUCCUCACAGGGGAAGCAGAUUUUGCUUCUCAUCAUAAGAAGCACCGAGCAGUGCCUCUGACCUGGGCCAGUGUUCCCUUCUCAGACCUCCAAACACAGGCAAUGCCUACAGAUGAACUUGUGACGGGAGCAAAUCAGGGAGAAAAAUACAAAGAUGCCUUAAUUGCUUUACCCACAAUUUAGGACAAGCUUUGCAACUGGCACCUAGAUGACAGAAAUAAUCUCUGGCUCUCCUCUUGUGUCCAAGUCAUGGACACAGGCACUGUAAGGUGCUCUACAGUCAGUGAGGGGAGACAGGAGCUGCUAGAAAAUGAUUCAUCUCACUUAUUUUAGAAACCUGUCUCAGGAGGACUGAAUCAGCAUCAGGAAGGGUCCAGUCCUCCCCUUUGAUUAGAGUGAUCACAAGAGACAAAAUGACUCAUCCAUGUACACCCAACAGAUGAUGCCUUGCCAAAAGUGAGUUAUUUGUGGUGAUUAAACCCACUUGUUUUGGUUUUUCUCUUUCCUUUUCAUUAAUUUUCUAUGUCUUUCCUUGCAUUGGCCAAGACCAUUACAGGCACACAAGACACUGA